ensembl:lncRNA
CUGUUCCGGAAGGUAGCCUGCCUCCCACAAGAAGCUGGUGGUUUUGUCCUCAUACCCCUUCGCCAUGGUUGGGAACACACAUAUUAAGGUCAUGUACACGCGGGCUGUUUGGAGGGAGGGUACCCAAGAGAAGGAGGGUGUAGUUCCUGACAUUUGGAUCAAUAGAGAAAAGAAGACCGUCAGAUGGCCACGUAAAAUGACCGCAACAAAUACUGAAAAAGCUAUAAAGGACAAAAUGAAACCCCAGGAUGACUGGAUGACAUUUUCAUUAUUAAAGAUAAAAAUUACUUCAGAUAAGCGUCGUGAAGCACUUUCCCUACUGCGCCAAGGAAGCUGCAGCCCAUUGAGGACACAAACAUGUUGCACAAUACUUAUGGAGCCAUGUCUGGCCAAGUGGAGAGUGCGGACAGUCCCUGGGACAGUGAAAUGUCCACUCCUAGUGAGUAUUUACUUUUCCCCUCGCAAUGUACAAGUUUAA